GACGAACGCUGGCGGCGUGCCUAACACAUGCAAGUCGAGCGGAGAUUACAGUAAUGUAAUUUUAGCGGCGGACGGGUGAGUAACGCGUGGGCAACCUACCUUGUACAGGGGGAUAACACAGGGAAACUUGUGCUAAUACCGCAUAACACAAUGACGUGACAUCACGAUAUUGUCAAAGGAGAAAUCCGGUAUAAGAUGGGCCCGCGUCCGAUUAGCUAGUUGGUGGGGUAAUGGCCUACCAAGGCGACGAUCGGUAGCCGAACUGAGAGGUUGAUCGGCCACAUUGGGACUGAGACACGGCCCAGACUCCUACGGGUGGCAG
rnacentral:rRNA from 1 species